AGGAGAAAGUUAAAGGAACUUGCAAUCCACGUUAGUUCUCUACAAAUAUGAUAAAGUACACCCAGUAAUAUGGAUGACAAAUCGUUGUGCUCUUCUGGGAUGCUUAUCUACUUGUUUAAAGGAAACGGACAGUUGUUUCUUUAGCCAUUUGUUUAUUGACCGGGAAAAUCUCCUGAUCCAUGGAAAAAGAAGUUUUCUUUGAUGAGUUGUGGCGCUGAAUACUCUUCACUGGAUCCCGUAUCUGCUGAACUUGCCGCCCUGUACAGUUGUGCCUGUUGUUCGUGGUCACUGGACUAGAUACAGCUUCUCAGGUCGUGAGUACUAUAAAUGUCCAAAAAGAGACGUCCCCAAUGUGGAUAGGUGCCAUGACAAUGUCCUGCUUGCGUGUGAUUGGUGGCAGCUGGCAAGGCCUGGUUAAUAAUGGGUCGUUUAGGAUGUAGGAAGAGAAUUGUAUAUGAAAUGAAAUGGAACAUGAUUUCACAAGCAAGAUAUCAGUCAGGG